CGCUUAAACAUAUCCACCCGAGAUGUUCCGGGUUUUUUCAUGUAACUGAAUGGACGUAACGAGUUCAGUGUCUUAUAUUUUGGAGUUGUUUCUAAAAUGGUUCACUACCAAAGUGACCCAAGUCUUUGAGUUAAUUUUGCCUCGUUUUGACUUCAUUUCCUACAAGACAUAACCAUACGGGUUUGUGUCGAAAGGUCUAUUUUGCAGGUCCAACCACAGCGAAGAUGUUGCACCGGAGAUCUUAUUCUGGAGGGGUUGUUGCAGUCGCGUUAAAUGGGAUGUUCUGCCUUCUGUUCAGCGUCAGUUACGCCCAAGAAUGCGGAAAUAUGGGCGGAGUUUGCCAGAACAACGCAGAAUGUAGGCAACUAAAUGCCGACCAGUUCUACUGCAGCUGCUCGGGGGCGUGGACAGGAGAGUUCUGUGACCAAGUGAAUUAUUGCUACAAUGUUCCAUGCAACAAUAUGGGAAUCUGUUACAACUUGGAGACAACGUACCGAUGCGAUUGCGCGGAUGGAUUCAGCGGUGUUGACUGUGGCAUACCUCUUCAACAAGAAGAUGCGUGUUCUCCAAGCCCCUGCCAGAACGGCGGCGAAUGUCUGCUUCAAGCCAAUGAUCCUACCCAGGCGUUGUGUCUCUGCUCGGAGGCUUUUUCUGGCCCUCAGUGCGAGAGAGACAAUCCGUGUUUUCCCCAGCCUUGUCAAAAUGGUGGCACUUGCACGGCAUCCGAAACUAGCUUCUCCUGCGCAUGCGCAGAUGGAUAUACAGGAACCCAAUGCCAAUCAGUUGCCAUCGACCCCUGUGGCUCCUCCCCCUGUUUGAAUAACGGGAUUUGCCAGAGUGUUGGUAACGACUACAUCUGCACGUGUGACACUCUCCACAGCGGCAAGAACUGUGAAACAAAGAUAAAACCGUGCGACAACGACCCCUGCCAAAAUGGUGGCGGGUGCUUCAACCGCGUGGAUGACAACACGUACUUCUGCGUCUGCCCCGCCAACUUCACCGGAGAGAACUGUGAAGAGGAUUUGAAACCUUGCCAAGCCAUCCCCUGUCAGAACGGUGGACUGUGUUACAACUUGGGGAACAACCUCGAUUACGUGUGUGUGUGCACCAGUGGCUUCAUGGGUACCAACUGCGAGAGGGAUGACCCCUGUCUCCCCCAGCCUUGUUUUAACGGGGGCGUGUGUUCGUAUAUCGGCUUCUCGUUCAGCUGCACUUGUGCAAAUGGCUACACCGGACCCCAGUGUGAAAUUCCACCUCCUCAUCCGUGCGACGAAGGGCUUAAUCCCUGCUUAAACGACGGCCAGUGCUCCUCUAAUGAUGGUCUCACGGCAGUUUGUGCCUGUGUGAACGGCUUCACUGGAUCACAAUGCGAAACGGUGCCCCCUUGUCACGACACCAUCAACCCAUGUCAGAACGGAGCGACGUGUGUAGAACAGAACUCAGCAGCGGUGUGCAUCUGCGUGGACCAUUAUGUCGGAGAUCGUUGCCAACAAGAGGGUCCUUGCCACGAAAACGUCAACCCUUGUCUGAACGGAGCAACCUGCGUGGAGAUGAACUCCGCGGCAUUUUGUCGGUGCACCGACGGCUUUGUCGGUGAUCGUUGCGAGAGAGACCUUCCCUGUAACGAUCAGGUCAACCCGUGUCAGAACGGUGCUGUGUGUGUCAACGUGAACGACACCAUCGCACACUGCGUGUGUUUCAACCGUUUUAGCGGCCUGUACUGUGAACUUGAACCUGCAGUUCACCCGUGCAACGAGACCGUCAAUCCGUGUCAAAAUGGCGCCACUUGCUUUCCCAUGAACGACGUCACCGCUAUAUGUGUAUGCAUCGAUGGGUACUCGGGCCAGCACUGUGAAAUUGACCCGCCAGCCCCACCCUGUCAUGAGAGUGUCAACCCGUGUCAGAACGGCGCAACUUGCACGGAAUUGGAUAGCACCACAGCGAUGUGCGUCUGCAUCGAUGGAUUUCGUGGAGAGCACUGCGACCAACUGGGCCCUUGUCACGAAAGCAUCGACCCUUGUCAGAACGGAGCGACAUGCUUAGAACAGAAUUCAGCAGCACUAUGCAUCUGCGUGGACCAUUAUGUCGGUGAUUAUUGUGAGCAAGUGGGCCCUUGCCACGAAAGCGUCGAUCCUUGUCUGAACGGAGCAACGUGCAUGGAGAUGAACUCGGCAGCAGUGUGCCGUUGCACCAACGACUUUGUCGGCGACCGUUGCGAGAGAGUCCCACCGUGCCAUACCACCGUUGAUCCCUGUCUAAACGGGGCGACCUGCAUCGAGAAAGAAAGCUCCACUUUCAUGUGCGUCUGCGCUGGAGACUACAUUGGCGAACACUGCGACCAAGUCCCCCCGUGUCAUGAUUCUGUCAACCCCUGUCUGAACGGGGCUACUUGCACGGAGACGGGAGGUCUUCCAGAAGUGGCCUGUCUUUGUGUGGGUGGCCAUACCGGACUGUACUGUGAGAUUCCCCCAGACGAUCCAUGCGAUCCAAAUCCAUGUCAGAACGACGGGUUGUGCCAAGGUGAUCUCAUCACAGGCAUUCACUCAUGCACGUGCUCGGCAAACUUCUACGGCGCGAACUGUGAAACCGUGGUUCCUAACAAUUGUGAGAGCAAUCCAUGUGUCAACAACGGAACCUGUUACUCGGGUAAAGAAAUGAAUGGGUAUGUGUGCACAUGCGUGGAUGGAUACACCGGUCUCAACUGCGAGUUGGAGACAUGUAGAAGAAUACCAUGCCAAAACGAAGGUGUCUGCGUGACGGCUGAAAGCCACGACUACUGUGAGUGUAGGGAAGGCUGGACGGGGUCACAGUGCCAGACAAGUGAAACAAGUCACAUGCGAAGUCAACACCUGCCAGAACGACGGUACCUGCCUGGUGCUCGAUAAUGUGCUGGUAUGCCGGUGCAAAGGAAUUUACUACGGAUCACGCUGUGAACGGAGUAACAAAAACUCAAAUUCUGAUGCACUGUCUUUCCACAAGAGGAGUUCAAGUACAAUGAAGGUCGUCAGUCUCCUCACCCUCGUUACUA
rnacentral:misc_RNA from 1 species